GUUAUUUUGGCAGAUUAGUGCAUAGGAUUUAGAAACCUUUUAUGUUUUAUAACAAAUAAUA
rnacentral:tRNA from 1 species